rnacentral:rRNA from 1 species
AGAGUUUGAUCCUGGCUCAGAUUGAACGCUGGCGGCAUGCCUUACACAUGCAAGUCGAACGGCAGCACGGGUGCUUGCACCUGGUGGCGAGUGGCGAACGGGUGAGUAAUAUAUCGGAACGUACCUUAUCGUGGGGGAUAACGCAGCGAAAGCUGCGCUAAUACCGCAUACGCCCUGAGGGGGAAAGCGGGGGACCGUAAGGCCUCGCGCGAUUAGAGCGGCCGAUAUCUGAUUAGCUUGUUGGUGGGGUAAAAGCCCACCAAGGCGACGAUCAGUAGCUGGUCUGAGAGGACGAUCAGCCACACUGGGACUGAGACACGGCCCAGACUCCUACGGGAGGCAGCAGUGGGGAAUUUUGGACAAUGGGGGCAACCCCGAUCCAGCAAUGCCGCGUGAGUGAAGAAGGCCUUCGGGUUGUAAAGCUCUUUUGUCAGGGAAGAAACAGCAGCUCUAACACAGUCUGCGAAUGACGGUACCUGAAGAAUAAGCACCGGCUAACUACGUGCCAGCAGCCGCGGUAAUACGUAGGGUGCAAGCGUUAAUCGGAAUUACUGGGCGUAAAGCGUGCGCAGGCGGUUAUACAAGACAGGCGUGAAAUCCCCGGG